AAUUCAAGAUGAGAUUUGGGUGGAGACACAGCCAAACCAUAUCAUUGACUGACUUAAAUUCAACAGAACUGUGCUUUGGAGGACAUCGUUGCGCUGCUGACUUCUAACACUGAGGCUGGAGUGCAAUGACAUGAUGUUGGCUCACCGCAACCUCCGCCUCCCAGGUUCAAGUGAUUCUCCUGCCUCAGCCUCCCGAGUAGCUGGGAUUACGGGUGAUCCUGCCUUAUCCUGGAGAAAGAAAUGUUAUGCAAGAGGCCAAGAAGAAGCUAAACAAACAAGCCAUGAUGGAUUCCCAUCUCAGCUUAUUACCAUUGGGACAUGUCCUUUUUGUCCAAUCACAUUUCUACAUGGCAGUACAGUCUUCAUCAAACCUAAGCAUUAAAAAAAAAGUUUUCUCUGGGUCUUUGGGUCUUUUGUUUCGGAAGGCUCCUGUAUUACAUAAAACUUUGUUAAA
rnacentral:lncRNA from 1 species